AGUCUUAUAUUCAAUACAAUGAUAAUAGAAUGCAAUUCUAUAGGAGUAAAAAUUACUAAGACUU
rnacentral:tRNA from 1 species